rnacentral:rRNA from 1 species
CCUACGGGAGGCAGCAGUGGGGAAUAUUGCGCAAUGGGGGCAACCCUGACGCAGCAACGCCGCGUGAAUGAUGAAGGUCUUCGGAUCGUAAAGUUCUGUCGAAGGGGAAGAAUAAAAUGACGGUACCCUUAGAGGAAGCCCCGGCUAACUACGUGCCAGCAGCCGCGGUAAUACGUAGGGGGCAAGCGUUACUCGGAAUUACUGGGCGUAAAGGGUGAGUAGGCGGCUGGGCAAGUCAAGGAUGAAAUCCCGAGGCUCAACUUCGGAACUGUCCUUGAAACUGCUCAGCUUGAGGGUAGUUGAGGAGAGCGGAAUUCCCGGUGGAGCGGUGAAAUGCGUAGAUAUCGGGAGGAACACCUGAGGCGAAGGCGGCUCUCUAAGCUACUCCUGACGCUGAAUCACGAAAGCUAGGGGAGCAAACG